CGUGAGGUGAACAACAGUUAGUUUGAUAGGGAAGUUAUGAAGGCACUGUCAUCAAGUGACCCUCCACUUCUGACUCAAACAGAAUCAGAUGAAGAGUUAACUGGUGAUGACUAUGCAUGCUUGAGAAGGACCUUAAGGAACAACAGGUUGUGCAUGGUGAGGUGGAAAACACUUUAGGGCCUGGUUUUAUCAACUUGGCAUUAGAGAAUCCAAUACCAAAGGUAAUCUGUGUUAAUGGCAAUGAUAGUGGACCAGUCUCGUGCAGCAGUAACUCUCGCUGACCACUGCUGUCAGUUAUGGACUUGCUACCAGGGCCCCAUCAAUUUUCGUAUAUUUGUGAAGAUGGACGGCAGUGACCUGCAUGUUGGCAUGGCAAAAUUGAAAUGGGGGCAUGCAGUGCAAUGGGUGGGCUACGUAAGGUGUUGGUUGUGUGCUGACGAAAUUCGGUCGAAGCCGUCCUAAUCCAGAAUCAUUUAGGGAGAUGCUGAGUUGACAUGUUCGAAUGACCUUUUUAUAGAUAUAGUACGUAUGUCCAUGGGACUGGGAGGAACCGAGGACCCAUGAGAUGCAUAUACGUUUCUUUCAAACAAUUCAUCUUAUGGGUUUUAAACGCAACAUGAUUAUGUAUGUUAACAUUAGACAAGCCAAUUCCUUCAAAAAAAUGUCAUACAAGGCAAGACAUUUCUGGUGG